rnacentral:rRNA from 1 species
GUCCACGCCGUAAACGAUGAAUGCUAGUUGUUGGCAAGUUUACUUGUCAGUGACGCAGUUAACACAUUAAGCAUUCCGCCUGGGGAGUACGGUCGCAAGAUUAAAACUCAAAGGAAUUGACGGGGGCCCCGCACAAGCGGUGGAGCAUGUGGUUUAAUUCGAAGCAACGCGCAGAACCUUACCUACGCUUGACAUGGAUGGGAAUUUUUCGAGAGAUCGAUUAAGACGGUUCGGCCGCCCAUCACACAGGUGCUGCAUGGCUGUCGU